CAGUGAGAGGUUCUUUGUCAAGCUGAAUAAGAGCGGGUUGCCCAAGUCGCCAGAGAAGACAGAAAGACAAUGCACGCUAUUUGUGGACCUGGGAAGCAGUGAUCUACGAAAAGACGUCUACAUCGUUGUGCACAUCGUAAGAAUAGGGAGAAUGGGAGCAGGGGAGAAGAAGAAUCUGUGCAGCGUGCAGUACAGACGGCCGUUUGGCUGUGCUGUCAUCAGCAUCGCAGAUCUCCUCACUGCUGACUCCAAGGAUGACCAUCUGCUCAAGGUUUAUGCGUGUAACACAGAGAGUGAGUGGCACCAAAUCCAUGAGAACCUCAUCAAAAAGGCAAAUUCAAGAUACAACCUGUCGGGCUCCAAC